GGCAGGGUAGCUCAGCGGCAGAGCAGAGGCUUCAUAAGCCUUGUGUCGCGGGUUCGAAUCCCGCCCCUGCCACCA
rnacentral:tRNA from 1 species